CCUACGGGUGGCAGCAGUGGGGAAUAUUGGACAAUGGGAGCAACCCUGAUCCAGCCAUGCCGCGUGUGUGAAGAAGGCCCUCGGGUUGUAAAGCACUUUCAGUGAGGAAGAACGCCUGGUGGUUAAUACCCAUCAGGAAAGACAUCACUCACAGAAGAAGCACCGGCUAACUCCGUGCCAGCAGCCGCGGUAAUACGGAGGGUGCGAGCGUUAAUCGGAAUUACUGGGCGUAAAGCGCGCGUAGGUGGCUUGAUAAGCCGGUUGUGAAAGCCCCGGGCUCAACCUGGGAACGGCAUCCGGAACUGUCAAGCUAGAGUGCAGGAGAGGAAGGUAGAAUUCCCGGUGUAGCGGUGAAAUGCGUAGAGAUCGGGAGGAAUACCAGUGGCGAAGGCGGCCUUCUGGACUGACACUGACACUGAGGUGCGAAAGCGUGGGUAGCAAACAGGAUUAGAUACCCGAGUAGUC
rnacentral:rRNA from 1 species